AGAGUGAAUUGCGUAGAAACGAAUUCUAGGAAACUUUGGACAUUGUCUUCCUAGUAAUGGUUCAUUCAUUUUGUAUUUGGAAAUUGAGAUGGGUCACGUGAUUAUAAUCCUAGCACAAAGGUUGUGGCUUGGUUAGUUGUCCUCAACCUUGUUCGAGUAAAAUCGGGAAACCACAACAGUGUAGGUUACAAGAAAUCAAACUGUGUCAAAGACUUUCAAUGAAAAACAAGUCCACAUCAUCGUAAGAAGCGAUGGGCUCGUUUUGAAAGCAACAGAUGAGGUAAAUUCAUCAAAAUGUAUCGAGGACAAGGUUGAAAGAAAAAUACAUUGAAGCAAAAGAACCAGUAAAGCAAAACAAACGUCUACUCUAGAAUGUGAACUUCAGUCGCCAUUUUGACCAUAUCAACGACUCAUUAUUGAUGAUAAUCACUAAGUUCUUUCAAAACGAAGAAACAAGCAAACACGUUAAUUAUGAAGAGUCGCGAAGACAAAAUAGAAUAAAUAAUUGAAAAAUGGUUGAUAUCAUCGUCAUAUCAAUGGUUGAGAACGGUAGCAGCUUUCCAAAAUGAAAUGGCAGAUCUUUCUGGGAUGUCAUUAUUUAGAGAUGUUUGGUACCCCUGGCUAUAUUAUUAACCGUCGUUACGUGGAGUGCCAUUGCCAUGAUGCAUAAGAAUUUAUCUACGUCAUAUUUUCUUUAAAUUGUUUUGUUCUCAAGACCUUUUUGAGAUUAGAUGAUGAAUAAUUGCAUUUGUGCAUCAUUCGACAAAACUGGUUGUAUGCCAUUGAUGCGGGCGGAAGAAGUGACAACUGAAAAACGAGCAAUUUAACUGAUGUUAAAAGAUCUUUAGCAUUUUGUAUGAACGUGUGUUAAUCCCCAUACAUAUUCAUGCAAGGGUUAGUAUCUGAUCCUGCUCAAUAGUCUAUUCCAUUAGCUACGUACGUCGAAGUUGCGCGGAACAACAAACAUAGAAACAACUAUUUACUGAUGAUGUUUUAUCAUACGAUUUUCAGUUAAUGGGAAUAACACAGCCCACUUUAUUGUGGUAGGCUUAUUUCUUUAAAUGAUGAAUAUGAUAGAACGGCAAGUAAUAUCAGUUGUGUGAGAAGCAUAAAGAAAAUAAUGGACUGCGAUUUAUUGCGUUCGAUAGAUCAGUUGAAGAAGGUUUGUCAGAUGCCCACAACAUACAUUUUUCUCUCUUCAUUCAUUUAUUUGGUCAUGCGGAGAGUUUAUGAGAUGCAAAUGGAGGGGAGACGGAAACGAGGACGCCCAAAGCAUCGGUGGAAGGAUACCAUCAGGAGAGACAUGCAGCUAUGUGGUGUCAAAGAAGAGGAUACCCAGGACAGAGCAGCCUGGAGAAGUCUCAUAGAACUGGGUCUCCGGCAAAGACCCGCUACCCGAGCAGGAGAAAGCGGAGAAAGGUGACCAAAGGUGACCAUGCUCGCUGGCUGGCAGGGAAGGUAGGAUUCGAAGUUAGAUGCACCUGUUAUGUAUCUUCCCUUUCUAAGGUUUUUACAAAGCGGGUCAAUUUAUUCUUUCUUUCGCCAUUUGUUGUUAUCGUCGUGUAUUUAGUAUUGCCGUAAAUACACAACAAAGAUUGCCGAAGUUAGCGAGAAUUAACUUUGCCGUUUUUCCGGUUUAUGGGUGAUUGUUCGUAGCUUAAGGGAAGAGACCGAAAUCGAAUUUGAUAAAAAAGAAACGUUUAUAACCGUAGAGCUCUAACGUUGGUGAUUCAUUUUCACGAUCCAAGCUGUACAUUUAAAUAAUAAUAGUUCGUCUCGUGUUUAUACUUAGACGUAUAAUCUGUUAGACGGAUCAUUCCUCCAUGCAGAUGAUCCGUCUUUAGUAUGAAAAUUGACCUAUACUAAAAGUUAACAAAGACAUGGUCCUGAUUUUGCAAUCGUGACUUUUGCUCAUUAACGAUUUUCACUAAAUCUGACAUCAUUGAUAGUUAUUCUUCAAGGCAAUAUCUAUAUCAUUAUUGGAGUUCCUACAUUCUGUAUUAUUGGUAAAUAGCACAACAACUACAUGCAUCUUAGCAUUUAUCACAAGUUCUUGAACUUUUUAUAAGAGCUUUAAACUUUCCUGAUCAACCUCUGCUCUAGUUCAUUCGCAUCAAGGUGUAUCAAUUCAAAAUAUUGCUAUUUGGGUACAACUACUUUUUCCAAAAAGACAUCAAUCACUGCAGUUCAGAAUGAAAGAAAAUCUUGUCUUGCACAAAGGUGAUUAUCCUGACAUUAAUUACGACAAAAUUAUACCAAAUAAGAUAGAAAGUAUAUACAAUAUGCAUAAAUUGCGACAGCAACUGCAAUGCCCAAAAAUUGUUGGUAUGUUACAGUCCACAAAAGUCAGAUCGAUCAUGUUAAGCUCUAUGUUUUUUUUGUAAAAAAUUAUCUUGAUUGCACUAUACUUUGUGUUGCAGUUUUUUCUCCUUUGAGCGUUAACACAAAGCAGUUAUGCGUCCACCGAUUCGUUAUUGGAACUGUAUGCCAUCCAAUUUGUAUGCGCAGUCGACACACAAUAUUGUUUAGUAAAUUGCCUAAACGACUUAGCGUUGCCUGGGGCAAAGUGCGACACUUUUUCACAUUUUUGGAUAUAUCUCGGUUGGGAAAAACUUGUUUAACUCAAAGAUUGGCACAAUAAAUCUCAAGGCCCUUCUGAUAUAAAUAAUGGAUGAAAAAACGUUCAAAUAUAAUAAGUAUCGUUUCAGUAUUCCAUAAUAUCUUACAAGUCAAAGUGUCUCACUUUCCCCAUUACCUGGGUCAAAGUGCGACACUUAGCUAGGGACCUUUUUUAAUAGGUAAUAGGGCACCGGAGGAGAAAAAUUUGAGAAAACAUCUCGAAAAAUAUAUAAACUUCAUUUGUACAAACAAAUCUAAGAUAAAAAGAUUAAUUAAUCUAUAGAAAGCUUAAGCUAAAAUGUAAGUGUUCAAAAUGUAAAUGUUUAAAAGUCAAAAACAACUAAUCUAAUCACACAAGAAACAAAUUUCGUCUGAUGUGCACUCCUCUUGAACCCAAGCAGUGCAAUUCGUACAAACAAUCCAAUCAGUUUCACUUUCUUUCCAAUUCCCACUGCAGACAGGGCAGAUCCAGUCUGAUCUAUCAUUCUCACAUUCAGUCAGAACAGGUCUUGCAAUAUUCUUUUCCUUUGGUUUUCUUUUAUUCUUUACCUUUGUGUUCUUUGCCUUGCCUUUUCUUGCCUUCUCUCAUGGACCGUUUUCUGCACAUUGGACACAGAAAAUUAGCUUCUGCGACAUUCUUUUGAAUUCACGUUCUACACAUUUCAUGAUUACAAGGUAAAACGACAGGUUCUAUCAGUAGCAUCAAGCAAAUACCACAUUCAUAAUCCGAUCCUGAAUAGGGGAAAGGUGCUUUCUUGUCAGCACUUGUCAUUGUCAGUGUCUCACUUUGUAGUUUUCUUUUAUAUGGGAAGCUUGUUAUAAUUUCAGAUACCUCGCCACGGCGACUUCUUUUGAAACAAAGUUUAGGCGUUGCCAAAAUUGGACUGGCGCCAAAAUCAGCACCAAGUGGAGCAGGCUAUGUAGCAGGUGCCAAACUUUGUGUUGGAGGUGUUGUUGCUCUUGUGGUAACACUUUCAUUCAAGUAAAGACAUUCAUCAUGGCUUUCAUUAUCUCUAGCUUCUGGCACGUUCACCUCAAUUUCUUCCACACUGUUUGCAACCUCUCUACUUGUAGCAGAGGAAGUGGUAACCAACAAACAUGGAUCCUCCAUAUAUUCGUGCUCUGGUACUACAUCUGGAUUGAAUGGAACAAUUCCACUUGUGCGAAAACCAGAGACAGCAUUUUCCAUGGUAGCAGAUUUGACAUAAGCUUCAUUGAAAAGCUCUCCCAAAUUCUCGGUUUGGAUUCUUCGGCCAGGGCUGAUUUCUCAUCCACUUCUGACAAGCAUUAUUAUAAUGUGUUUUUAGUGGCUUGAAAAAAGAUCUAUCCAGAGGUUGCAGCUUGUGAGUUGUAUGGGGGGCCAAUGACAAAAGAAACAAUCCAUUAUCUCUGGCAAGAUCAAUUAAUUGAAGACUUUUUGUAUGGGUCUUGUGCCCAUCAAAAAUCAUCAGAGCAGGGUUUUCUUUUGUGCAAUUGGUAUACUUAAUGAAAUGCCUUGUAUAUUGCAGAAAUAGCUCGGUGUUGAUCCAACCAUUAUCAGAGACUCCUUGCAAAGUUCCAACUGGUGCUUGAUCAGUGAGAGAAUCUUUCUUAUUUUCCCUUUUAAAGAUCAUCAUGGGUGGAAUGUAGUGGAAUGGGUGGAAUGCCGCACAAAGAACAGUUGUGGUAAUUCCCUUUUCACCACUAGUUACUGAGGAAACACAAUGUUUUCCUUUUUUUGCGACCACCUUCACCGGUUUGUGAACACUGGUAAUUCCACUCUCAUCACAGUUAUAAAGUGGGGUUGAAAAUUGUGCUCAGUUAGAAGUUUCUCAAGAUUACUGAAAUAUGUCCUCACAGCAGUCCUGUUCAGCCCAUAUACUCGAUUUAAAGCAACACCUUGUGGUUUCCAUAAAGACAGGUCUGGAUUUCUUUUUAAAAACCCUCGGACAAAAUCUUCCCCGCAAAGUUUCUUUUCUUUUGAGAAAGGAUUUGGAAUCUUAUUUUUGUCACAGAAUUCAUAAACUAUUACCCUAAGGUCCAUAAUAGUUAGUCCGAAAAAUGCAUUAUCUAUCCAUAUCUGUAAUGUAUUUGGCCAGCUGCUUCUCCUGGUCUUUGGACAAAACAGUGCGGAAUCUUCCAAGCUUAUUGUGGCACAUGGUAUCAAUGUUAUCAUCAGUACUCUGUUUAUCCAACUUCUUCAAUCUUUUAUUCAAUGUGUCCUUUGGAAAACGAAAAGUCCAUGCUUUCUCCGUUUGUAAAUUUCUGCGAUGUUUCACUUUUCUUACAUGACACAGAUGACAGAGAAGCUGCUGACUGACUCUUAAGCUGCAGCUUAGUUUAACGGCUCAGAUAUUUAAUAAUCAUUAGCAAAUGUCGCACUUUGCCCCAGGCUACGCUAUCAAGCGCAGCAAAAUCAUUCAACUUAAAUUCCUGAUAAGGCUAAAUUACCUGAAGAAGUAUCGUCGCAUGAUCGAAAAUUGGUUUGUGUGGAGCCAAAAACACAUUUAGAAGUACAAGCGUUUUUGUUUUUGUAGUACAUUUGGUUGUGAUGUUUAACAAUAGAUCAUUCUUUCCAUGUAUUUUUUUGAAAGUUUUUGUUGUUUCAAUGUUUUUAUGGGGGACUGUUUUGAUGUUUACCACAGGUCUUCGAUGUCCAGCAUAUGAAACGAUCCAAGUUAAUAUUGCUGGACUUUUAGUUUCUUUUUUUGGUAGGGAUAUCAAUAUCAUCUUUGCAUCUAAAAUAUUUCAAUUUCAACUUGAAUCAAUGUGUGUGAUACCUACAAAAAUAGGUUUUUUAGUAUGAAGUCCGCAAAUUUUGUUGUAACUAUACAAAGUUUCUCAAAAAAAUGUUUCUAAACAUUGCAAAUAAAAUUAGUUUCAAGAAUGCUUAGUUUAGAACCUUGGCCAGGGUGGUCCAGGAGAUUGUGAAAAGGGGAGCCGAACUCUUUGAACUUGUUUAAAAACUAAAACUUUCCUGUCAUUUUUUAUUAUCAUUCAAUUUUUUUGUUUUUUUUCCAGCAAAAGGGGGGUUUGCGGCCGUUUCGCCCCCCCCCCCCUAAAUCCGCCCCUGUUGGCGUUUCAAAAAAUGCUAAACUGAAAUUCACUUCGAGAAGUGCUUAUCAAAGCAGUUUGUUUCUUGACGAAUAGCCUUAGACGUCAAUAAACCUUAAUUUCGUAUUUGCACUUACAUAGCGUAUACAUAAUAAGGACAUUUGGCACGCCACAAUCAUACAUUCGUCAUUUACGCGUCGCAUUCUUUUUUUUUACUAUGCAGUAUACAACUUAAAAAUUACGAAAUCACUCAUGAUUUACUUUCUUUGUUUCGGUUAUGUUGUAAUUUUGGAUUCUUCUAACACAUAUGCGAAGCUCAUGUGUUCGGAAGAAUAAAUUCCUUUGUUUGCGAUAUUUUCUAGCGCAAAAUUCCACCUAAAUAAUAAGGCAACGAGCAGUAAAAUGCAACGGUAUUCAAUAAAUAUUUACGUAGUACAAUUUGCAUCAUUUGAUGAAUAAGUUUUCAUUAUGACUGACUGACUGACUCGUGUGAAUUUUCGCCACUUACAAUAAUACUGCAAAGUUCCUAUGAAAACAUUACACUAAAAGUAAGGCGCUAUGAUGUAUUUAUGAUGUAUUCUUAAA